rnacentral:rRNA from 1 species
AGCUGUGUUUACGGCGAGACCGCGGACGGCUCAUUAAAUCAGUCGUGGUCCAUAUGGGCUUGAGUUAAUCCUACUUGGAUAACUGUGGUAAUUCCAGAGCUAAUACAUGCAACUCCUAUCCUGAAGGACGGAUGCUUUUAUUAGACCAAACCGUUGAGUGUCUCGUUUAAUGGUGACUCUGGAUAACCAUUUGACAAGCGUACGUACUCUCGUGGGACGACGCUGCCACUUUCGAGUGUCUGCCUUAUCAGCUAUCAACCGUUCGUUAUGUGCGCACGAUGGCUUUGACGGGUAACGGGGAAUCAGAGUUCGAUUCCGGAGAGGCAGCCUGAGAGACGGCUACCACGUCCAAGGACGGCAGCAGGCACGCAAAUUACCCAAUCCCAGCACCUGGGGGAGGUAGUGACGAAAUAUAACGAUGCGGGCGCCCUUUCUGGGGCCCCGCAAUCGGAAUGGCCACUUUCUAAAAAACCUGUUGAGAACCUACUGAAGGGCAAGUCUGGUGCCAGCAGCCGCGGUAAUUCCAGCUUCAGUAGCAUCUAUUAAAGUUGCUG